ensembl:lncRNA
ACGGUUGCCCUGCGGUUUGCUAACGCCGGGUGUGUUUACAUUGCUGCAUUUCCCGUCCAGGGUCCUCAGACUCCAGGGCCUCUGACAGGACCCCACCUCUGACAGCUGCUUUGCAGCGGUGAAAGGAAGCACCACCGCCCGAGGUUAAUCGGCGCAGAGAGGCAGAUUCUUCACAGUCUGAGCCACCCAGGAAGUUGGAGCGUCCAUUAAUGUAUGCAGUUCUCGGAGCGGCAAAAAGUUGGACACAACUUAGCCACUGAACCACAAAAUUAAUGGCCAUCUAGAGACGUUUCCCUGAAC